UACGAAGGGGGCUAGCGUUGCUCGGAAUCACUGGGCGUAAAGCGCACGUAGGCGGAUUGCUAAGUCAGGGGUGAAAUCCUGGAGCUCAACUCCAGAACUGCCUUUGAUACUGGCGAUCUUGAGUCCGGGAGAGGUGAGUGGAACUGCGAGUGUAGAGGUGAAAUUCGUAGAUAUUCACAAGAACACCAGUGGCGAAGGCGGCUCACUGGCCCGGUACUGACGCUGAGGUGCGAAAGCGUGGGGAGCAAACAGG
rnacentral:rRNA from 1 species